rnacentral:rRNA from 1 species
GAUGAACGCUGGCGGCGUGCCUAAUACAUGCAAGUCGAGCGAACGGACGAGAAGCUUGCUUUUCUGAUGUUAGCGGCGGACGGGUGAGUAACACGUGGAUAACCUACCUAUAAGACUGGGAUAACUUCGGGAAACCGGAGCUAAUACCGGAUAAUAUUUUGAACCGCAUGGUUCAAAAGUGAAAGACGGUCUUGCUGUCACUUAUAGAUGGAUCCGCGCUGCAUUAGCUAGUUGGUAAGGUAACGGCUUACCAAGGCAACGAUGCAUAGCCGACCUGAGAGGGUGGUCGGCCACAGUGAAACGAGAACCGGACAGAAAAACUAAGGGGAGGGAGAAUGAGGAAAGUUACACGAAUGGGCGAAACCCUAGCGGGCAAGCGCGGGGGGAAUGAAGAAGUACUUCGGGUAGGAAAACGUUGUUUUAGGGGAAGAACUAGUUUGAAAGGAACGGAGACCAUCUGGCCGGUCCUCAAUCAAAAAACCCCGCCAAAUAACGG